CCUACGGGGGGCAGCAGUGAGGAAUAUUGGUCAAUGGACGAGAGUCUGAACCAGCCAAGUAGCGUGAAGGAUGACUGCCCUAUGGGUUGUAAACUUCUUUUAUAUGGGAAUAAAAUGUUCCACGUGUGGGAUUUUGUAUGUACCAUAUGAAUAAGGAUCGGCUAACUCCGUGCCAGCAGCCGCGGUAAUACGGAGGAUCCGAGCGUUAUCCGGAUUUAUUGGGUUUAAAGGGAGCGUAGGUGGAUUGUUAAGUCAGUUGUGAAAGUUUGCGGCUCAACCGUAAAAUUGCAGUUGAAACUGGCAGUCUUGAGUACAGUAGAGGUGGGCGGAAUUCGUGGUGUAGCGGUGAAAUGCUUAGAUAUCACGAAGAACUCCGAUUGCGAAGGCAGUUCACUGGACUGCAACUGACACUGAGGCUCGAAAGUGUGGGUAUCAAACAGGAUUAGAUAUCCCUGUAGUC
rnacentral:rRNA from 1 species